rnacentral:rRNA from 1 species
AUUGAACGCUGGCGGCAGGCUUAACACAUGCAAGUCGAGCGGGGGAGGGUAGCUUGCUACCUAACCUAGCGGCGGACGGGUGAGUAAUGCUUAGGAAUCUGCCAUUUAGUGGGGGACAACAUUCCGAAAGGAAUGCUAAUACCGCAUACGUCCUACGGGAGAAAGCAGGGGAUCUUCGGACCUUGCGCUAAAUGAUGAGCCUAAGUCGGAUUAGCUAGUUGGUGGGGUAAAGGCCUACCAAGGCGACGAUCUGUAGCGGGUCUGAGAGGAUGAUCCGCCACACUGGGACUGAGACACGGCCCAGACUCCUACGGGAGGCAGCAGUGGGGAAUAUUGGACAAUGGGCGGAAGCCUGAUCCAGCCAUGCCGCGUGUGUGAAGAAGGCCUUAUGGUUGUAAAGCACUUUAAGCGAGGAGGAGGCUACCUAGAUUAAUACUCUAGGAUAGUGGACGUUACUCGCAGAAUAAGCACCGGCUAACUCUGUGCCAGCCGCCGCGGUAACAC